CCUGCCCUUAGAGGAGUUGCAGCUGUGACUGUUGUGUCACAUGUGCUUCAGUAGGCGUUAGAGAGGAAAGAGGUUAUGUCUCUGCCUGUUCUGACCUGUGAACAUCUGAAUGAUUAGUAGCCUACAUU